UAGCCAAUCAGAUGCAAGCUUACCAUUCAACCAAUCAUAACCCGCCAAGAGCACAGCACUCUAGGAGCUCAGCAUUGCACACCUUUUGCGCAAUCAACUGAAAUGAAGCUUCACGUCAUCCACCAAGCAUGGCGAACGAAGUGCGGGAUAUACGUAUUGUAUUAAAGGACUCUCGUCGUGUAAUACUGUCACAGAGCAGUUGUUCUUGUGUUGCUGUGACAGCACAUUGUUGCACUACUCAGAGCUCAGUGAAGUUCACAGCUGUACUGAAACGGAGGAGAGCUGACACAAACCUAGAACAAUGAGGUUCUGUCUGCAAGACCCAAAGAAAGGAAGCUUGCUGAGGUAUUAAGGUACAACACAAAAAUUUUGCAAUGUAGUAUUUUACACACACACACACACACACACACACACACACACACACACACACACACACACACACACACACACACACACACACACACACACACACACACACACACACACACACACACACACACACACACACACAUACUUCACAAAAGACAUACUGUAUGAGAUCAGGCUCAUUUCACUGAAAAUGUUUAUGUAACAGAUAAGUCAUACCAGCAGCAACAACACGCAACCUUAAUCGCUAUCAAGAUGCCCCAUAACUACAACCUUUGCCACUAUUUGGCUACAGCUUUGACACAUCUGUCUGCUUGUUAGUUAUUUAUAUUUACAUGUUUACAUUUCUGAAGUGCGGGUAGUUAUUUACAGUAUAUUACAUACAUACAUUACUGCAUUGUAAAUGUUCAAAGUCAUUUAGUUUUACAUUCAUGCAGAGCAUGCAACACUGAAUAAAAGUUAUUUACAGUAUAUUUACAUUCAUUACUGCAUUGUAAAUGUGUGAAGUCAUUUAUAUUUACAUGUUUACAUUCAUGUAGUGCAGGCAACCCAGUAUUAAAGUUAUUUACAUUAUAUUUAAAUACAUUACUGCAUUGCAAAUAUUCAAAGUCAUUUAUAUUUUCAUGUUUACAUUAAUGCAGUGCAGGCAACACUGUGUUAAAGUUGUUUACAGUCUAUUUGCAUUC